rnacentral:siRNA from 1 species
AACCGUUUUAUACGGUUACGGUUG